rnacentral:rRNA from 1 species
AAAUUGAAGAGUUUGAUCAUGGCUCAGAUUGAACGCUGGCGGCAGGCCUAACACAUGCAAGUCGAGCGGUAGCACAGAGGAGCUUGCUCCUUGGGUGACGAGCGGCGGACGGGUGAGUAAUGUCUGGGAAACUGCCUGAUGGAGGGGAUAACUACUGGAAACGGUAGCUAAUACCGCAUAACCUCGCAAGAGCAAAGAGGGGGACCUUCGGGCCUCUCGCCAUCAGAUGUGCCCAGAUGGGAUUAGCUAGUAGGUGAGGUAAUGGCUCACCUAGGCGACGAUCCCUAGCUGGUCUGAGAGGAUGACCAGCCACACUGGAACUGAGACACGGUCCAGACUCCUACGGGAGGCAGCAGUGGGGAAUAUUGCACAAUGGGCGCAAGCCUGAUGCAGCCAUGCCGCGUGUGUGAAGAAGGCCUUCGGGUUGUAAAGCACUUUCAGCGGGGAGGAAGGCGGUAAGGUUAAUAACCUUGUCGAUUGACGUUACCCGCAGAAGAAGCACCGGCUAACUCCGUGCCAGCAGCCGCGGUAAUACGGAGGGUGCAAGCGUUAAUCGGAAUGACUGGGCGUAAAGCGCACGCAGGCGGUCUGUUAAGUUGGAUGUGAAAUCCCCGGGCUUAACCUGGGAACUGCAUUCAAAACUGACAGGCUAGAGUCUUGUAGAGGGGGGUAGAAUUCCAGGUGUAGCGGUGAAAUGCGUAGAGAUCUGGAGGAAUACCGGUGGCGAAGGCGGCCCCCUGGACAAAGACUGACGCUCAGGUGCGAAAGCGUGGGGAGCAAACAGGAUUAGAUACCCUGGUAGUCCACGCUGUAAACGAUGUCGAUUUGGAGGUUGUGCCCUUGAGGCGUGGCUUCCGGAGCUAACGCGUUAAAUCGACCGCCUGGGGAGUACGGCCGCAAGGUUAAAACUCAAAUGAAUUGACGGGGGCCCGCACAAGCGGUGGAGCAUGUGGUUUAAUUCGAUGCAACGCGAAGAACCUUACCUACUCUUGACAUCCAGAGAACUUAGCAGAGAUGCUUUGGUGCCUUCGGGAACUCUGAGACAGGUGCUGCAUGGCUGUCGUCAGCUCGUGUUGUGAAAUGUUGGGUUAAGUCCCGCAACGAGCGCAACCCUUAUCCUUUGUUGCCAGCGAUUCGGUCGGGAACUCAAAGGAGACUGCCGGUGAUAAACCGGAGGAAGGUGGGGAUGACGUCAAGUCAUCAUGGCCCUUACGAGUAGGGCUACACACGUGCUACAAUGGCGUAUACAAAGAGAAGCGACCUCGCGAGAGCAAGCGGACCUCAUAAAGUACGUCGUAGUCCGGAUUGGAGUCUGCAACUCGACUCCAUGAAGUCGGAAUCGCUAGUAAUCGUAGAUCAGAAUGCUACGGUGAAUACGUUCCCGGGCCUUGUACACACCGCCCGUCACACCAUGGGAGUGGGUUGCAAAAGAAGUAGGUAGCUUAACCUUCGGGAGGGCGCUUACCACUUUGUGAUUCAUGACUGGGGUGAAGUCGUAACAAGGUAACCGUAGGGGAACCUGCGGUUGGAUCACCUCCUUA